UGCGUAGGUGGUUUCUUAAGUCAGAGGUGAAAGGCUACGGCUCAACCGUAGUAAGCCUUUGAAACUGGGAAACUUGAGUGCAGGAGAGGAGAGUGGAAUUCCUAGCGUAGCGGUGAAAUGCGUAGAUAUUAGGAGGAACACCAGUUGCGAAGGCGGCUCUCUGGACUGUAACUGACACUGAGGCACGAAAGCGUGGGGAGCAAACA
rnacentral:rRNA from 2 species